rnacentral:rRNA from 1 species
GAUGAACGCUGGCGGCGUGCUUAACACAUGCAAGUCGAACGAAGCAAUCUAGCGGAAGUUUUCGGAUGGAAGUUAAAUUGACUGAGUGGCGGACGGGUGAGUAACGCGUGGGUAACCUGCCUCACACUGGGGGACAACAGUUAGAAAUGACUGCUAAUACCGCAUAAGCGCACAGGACCGCAUGGUCCGGUGUGAAAAACUCCGGUGGUGUGAGAUGGACCCGCGUUUGAUUAGCUAGUUGGUGGGGUAACGGCCUACCAAGGCGACGAUCAAUAGCCGACCUGAGAGGGUGACCGGCCACAUUGGGACUGAGACACGGCCCAAACUCCUACGGGAGGCAGCAGUGGGGAAUAUUGCACAAUGGGGGAAACCCUGAUGCAGCGACGCCGCGUGAGUGAAGAAGUAUUUCGGUAUGUAAAGCUCUAUCAGCAGGGAAGAAAAUGACGGUACCUGACUAAGAAGCCCCGGCUAACUACGUGCCAGCAGCCGCGGUAAUACGUAGGGGGCAAGCGUUAUCCGGAU